CAUGUUUGAAACAGUAUGCUCAUGCAUUCUUGAAGUCGUUCUUCAACUGAAUUAAAGAAGUGUUAUACUAAAUGUACAGAGAGAGCAUAUUAAUAAUGUGUCAAAAGCUCAUGGAGGGACCCUGCUGUGAGUAAUAGAAAUGCAACAUUAGAAAAGUGUUCAGGACUUCUAUGGACUCCAGUGUGCAAUUUUCCCGUGAUGCACUGUGCGUAAGCCAUUACCAAACCGCAGAGGGCAAAAGUGGAGAGGUGUGAUUCGCAUCCUCUGAGAUCAAGAAGUUUAAAGGCAGAAACCUGAGAGACUGAAGCAGCUGUACUGCAGGCUGAGAGAAGGGGGAAGA